rnacentral:rRNA from 1 species
GACCCGUCUUGAAACACGGACCAAGAAGUCUAUCUUGCGCGCAAGCCAAUGGGUGUGGCGUAGUACCGGCGUGUACUGCCCCCAUAUAUAAAACCCCACAGGCGUAGACAACUCGAACAAUGUCUGAGGGAUUACGGGUUCGGCAUGGCGCAAGCCUUCGUCGGACCCCUCCAUCCCGGGGUGUCCCGCUACGGGCUGUGUUCGCGUCUCACGAUGCGUUCGCUGUCCCGUGUGGGCAUCCCCUCGAGUGCGUAGGAUGCGACCCGAAAGAUGGUGAACUAUGCCUGAUCAGGCCGAAGUCAGGGCAAACCCUGAUGGAGGGCCGAAGCAAUUCUGACGUGCAAAUCGAUUGUCAUAGAUGGGCAUAGGGGCGAAAGACCAAUCGAACCAUCUAGUAGCUGGUUCCUUCCGA